AGCCACAGCCAUCUCACCCUGCAGCCCAACAGCUGUCACUCACUGAAGCUGAGCAGGGCUGAGCCUGGGCAGUAGCUGGAUGGGAGACCACAUGGGAACACUAGGUUGCUGUUGGAA
ensembl:rRNA 5S_rRNA 5S ribosomal RNA